AUGGGCUGCGCUGCAGCUCGUUACUCUUGCGAUAGUGAAGUUUAGGUGUGUCUGUUCGUUCACAGCAUUUCAGUGAUGGAUGUUAUAUAAAUGGUGGAAAUAACGCUGGAUUUGGAGAUCGUUUGAAACGGUCCCAGUUCUAAAAGAUGCCAGACAUGAACUGCACACGGUCUAUGCAGAAUUUAAAAGAAUUACUGGAGGAAUCUGCACUCAACUUUCCACAAAGCCUUGGAAGUCCGUGCUAAAGAUCUGAUGCAUCAAUCCAGAAGAGACCACAGAUAUAGCCAUGCAUCGAUGGCAGCAAGUGAUUUUCUCCACAAGAAUUCACAAACUCAAAAUACCUAUGUUUGGCGUCAAUUUUUUCAAUAGGCCUUUUUUGUAGUUCAGCAAAUAAGUUUGCUGUUGUAUUUCAAAUGUAAUGUCUGUCAACAGGAGCACUUAAUCAUGUAUGUUCAGUCUAUAUGAAAAGUGAUUGUUAAGAACUAAAAGGUCUUGGUUUAUUUGUGUGGUUUACGUUUUGUGACUUGAAAGAUUCCAGAUAAUAUUUUUUGGUAACUACCCCAAUGUGCAAUUAUUUAUAACUAGUUCCACAGGGUUUUCUAGUUAAAAUUCCCAAAUAAUAAGAAUUAAUUGAAGUAAUGGAUAAAACGUGGGGUAAAUACUUAAAUUUUAAUUGACAGAAUCUUUGCUGUAUGUUUUCAAAUAUUAAACUAAUUAAAAAACUUUAGUUGAAUGAAUUAUAAAACUAGUUGAGCAAGCAUACUUUUUAAUAUUUGAGUCAAGUUUGGGCCAACUAAAAAAUAACAAUUCAAGUAACACUUUAGGGACAAAAAUUAAGUGAACGUAAAAUUUCUGUGGAACUAGUUACUAAAUAAUAAUUAUACUUUUACAGUGUACUUUUAGGUCUGUUUACAAGCAACUGACAAUGUGCGAGCUGCUGCUGUGAUAAAAUAUUCGAUUAAAACACAAACUUAUUGUCCUUUCUAUUUCAAUGCGGCAGAUAAUAAAGUUUUAAUAAGCUAUAUGUGGAAUCAUAUUUUGUUGGGGUCUGUAUUGUUAGUGUUUUGUUGUUGAGGUGCAUUAGAGGGAUACUGCACCCAAAAAUUCUGUCAUGAAACCUCUGGCAGGGAGCAGAGCAAGACGGUCAACCUAUGUGCCGAGGCUUAGCCGAUUUAAACCAUGUGGACGUGUAAACUCCCUUUGUUUUUCAUGCUACACGAAUAACCGACUAAUCCCGAGAGUAAUAAAGAGCGAGGAAAUGUAACAUCACACUAUGAUUCUGUCAGGAAUUACGUUGAGGAAGAACCCAAUUGCAGGCAGCAGGGAAGGGAUUAACAAAGAGACUUUAAUGAUAACAAAACAGCAAAAAAAAAAACACAAUGGGGAAAAACAAGACACACUAGAAAUAAUAAAAGACGGAUACACAGGAACUAUACUAACUACACUAAAACUUAUAAUGACUAAAUACCACACUUGACAGGACUACAAUAAACUAACACUAGACUUACUUGACAUAGACUGGGAGACAUCACGAGGAUGAGUAGAGCACUGACAACAGGAUGUGGAACAUGGUAAGACCAACGACAAUGAAUGAGCACAAGACAAUAGACACAAGGGCUUUUUAAAGGGGAAUACAAACGAGGGAUGAUAACACAGGGAGGGUGAUGGGCAGGCGACAAGGAUCAAACACUAAGGAGAAGUUAACGAGGGAACGAGAGGGCGGGGUUAAAAGACGUGACACCAGAGAGAGGGAGUACUGUAUAUAUGGAAGGCCCACAGGGCCAAAACGUCUCUCUCCACAUAUAACACAAGGGAUCUGUCACGAUCCUGCCACUAGACCGGAAAAUCAUGAACAAGGAGGCAGGACCAUGACAUAUUUAUCCUUAAAGGGCAAUAAUAUUAUAAAUGCUACAAUACACUGUUUCAACAAUUGUUAGAGAAAUACCUGUGAGAACACAGAAAGGAGUCAGUCAAAUAUAAAGUGCACAUUACUUUUCGUGUCAAGUGUUCAUGGAAAAGGUAAGUUUAUCCACAAGUUUCCUCUGCCCCAUGACGCUUUGCACGAUUUAUGGGACUAACUACGGGUUCAAUGUAAGCAAAUGCGUUUCUGCCAUAUUUCAAGUCAUUCGUUAUAGCAGAAUGUGAACUUACACACGGAGAGCACUUAUAAACUACAUCAGCAUACUGUCCACAACUUCAUAGAGGAAUGGGAUGAUUUUAAUAUUUAAUAUUUGACCCACCAAUAACUGUCUGUCUGUCUAAAAAAAAGAAAAAAAAUACUUAAUUGUUUUUGUUCUGUUGACAUUUUGUUCAACAAACAUUUUGAAGAAUGUAGGACAGCAAACA